rnacentral:pre_miRNA from 1 species
AGACACCCCUAUGGAGCAGGAUUUGCUUCAGUGGGGGCUUUGGAGCUCACUGAGUCUGCCCCUUGAGUGUGUCACU